GCUCAGUGGUUAGAGUGUCGGCCUGUAGACCCAAUGGUCCGGGUUCAAUUCCCGG
rfam:Myotis lucifugus cont2.8649, whole genome shotgun sequence.